UCGCUAAGGACGACAUCAAAAGCAACUACAAGAUAUGUAACCGACACUGUCCACUACAAGUCGGGAGCACUGCGUGUGGAUACUAUGUCAUGAAGUAUAUGAGAGAAAUUGUAAAUAGGGGAAGCAUUGUCAUCUCAGAUUCGAAAACUUUAUUUUUUGUGGCUGAUUUUUUGAAAUGUUCAUAUGGAGGGGGA